rnacentral:rRNA from 1 species
CGGGUGGUAAUGCCGGAUGCUCCAGUUGACCGCAUGGUCCUCUGGGAAAGCUUUUGCGGUAUGGGAUGGGGUCGCGUCCUAUCAGCUUGAUGGCGGGGUAACGGCCCACCAUGGCUUCGACGGGUAGCCGGCCUGAGAGGGCGACCGGCCACAUUGGGACUGAGAUACGGCCCAGACUCCUACGGGAGGCAGCAGUGGGGAAUAUUGCACAAUGGGCGCAAGCCUGAUGCAGCGACGCCGCGUGCGGGAUGACGGCCUUCGGGUUGUAAACCGCUUUUGACUGGGAGCAAGCCCUUCGGGGUGAGUGUACCUUUCGAAUAAGCACCGGCUAACUACGUGCCAGCAGCCGCGGUAAUACGUAGGGUGCAAGCGUUAUCCGGAAUUAUUGGGCGUAAAGGGCUCGUAGGCGGUUCGUCGCGUCCGGUGUGAAAGUCCAUCGCUUAACGGUGGAUCCGCGCCGGGUACGGGCGGGCUUGAGUGCGGUAGGGGAGACUGGAAUUCCCGGUGUAACGGUGGAAUGUGUAGAU